AGCGAACGCUGGCGGCAGGCCUAACACAUGCAAGUCGAACGGACCCUUCGGGGUUAGUGGCGGACGGGUGAGUAACACGUGGGAACGUGCCUUUAGGUUCGGAAUAGCUCCUGGAAACGGGUGGUAAUGCCGAAUGUGCCCUUCGGGGGAAAGAUUUAUCGCCUUUAGAGCGGCCCGCGUCUGAUUAGCUAGUUGGUUGGGGUAAUGGCCCACCAAGGCGACGAUCAGUAGCUGGUCUGAGAGGAUGACCAGCCACAUUGGGACUGAGACACGGCCCAAACUCCUACGGGAGGCAGCAGUGGGGAAUCUUGCGCAAUGGGCGAAAGCCUGACGCAGCCAUGCCGCGUGGAUGAUGAAGGUCUUAGGAUUGUAAAAUCCUUUCACCGGUGAAGAUAAUGACUGUAGCCGGAGAAGAAGCCCCGGCUAACUUCGUGCCAGCAGCCGCCGUAAAAC
rnacentral:rRNA from 1 species